rnacentral:rRNA from 1 species
GUCCUACGGGGGGCAGCAGUGGGGAAUUUUGGACAAUGGGGGAAACCCUGAUCCAGCCAUCCCGCGUGUGCGAUGAAGGCCUUCGGGUUGUAAAGCACUUUUGGCAGGAAAGAAACGUCAUGGGUUAAUACCCCGUGAAACUGACGGUACCUGCAGAAUAAGCACCGGCUAACUACGUGCCAGCAGCCGCGGUAAUACGUAGGGUGCAAGCGUUAAUCGGAAUUACUGGGCGUAAAGCGUGCGCAGGCGGUUCGGAAAGAAAGAUGUGAAAUCCCAGAGCUUAACUUUGGAACUGCAUUUUUAACUACCGGGCUAGAGUGUGUCAGAGGGAGGUGGAAUUCCGCGUGUAGCAGUGAAAUGCGUAGAUAUGCGGAGGAACACCGAUGGCGAAGGCAGCCUCCUGGGAUAACACUGACGCUCAUGCACGAAAGCGUGGGGAGCAAACAGGAUUAGAUACCCUGGUAGUCUAC